GGUGAAACUUUGUAAACAACUCUCACGCUGUUUUAAAGCUCUUUUGCUGUAUUUACUAGGGAAAUGCGCGACGGUGCCGCAGCCAGGUGAGCCCAACGUGCCAAAACAGUAAGACAUCCAGAUGUUGAAAUCAAACUCUACUCAGAAUGAAUUUAUGAAGACAAGAAGAAUGAUGCGACGCAAAGCAAAAAGAAGCAGCACCUGACAGCCUGUUGUGGCCCCUACAUAAGACCUAGAGCUUGGGUCAGGCUCUUUAUUGGCACACCUGAGUAACAUCAUAAACAUGGCUGAAAUUGCCAGCGAAGAUCUGAGUCCACCUGUUACCAGCCCAAGCUUUUAAUGAAUGGGAUCCUUUCAGUGGGAUAUGCUCAGGAUUAGCCUCAGGAGGUGAUCUCAGGGCCUUCCUUCCUUCCUCCUGACACAGAGGCCUGGGGGAGUCGCAGGGGAGUCAGGAUGGCCGGAUGUGCCCCGAUCAGACGCACAGACAGACGGACUGACAAGGAACAGACAUGCAGACAGGAGGAUGCUGCCGCUACUGUGGAGUUUGGGCUCGGUUUUUCUUCUCAUCCGGAGCUACAAGGAGGAUGACAUCAUUCCUGUUUUGAUAGGACAACAGGAAGGUGGAGGGAGACGGGGAGCAGCGUGGUGUGUGGGUGAGAGCAUGAAGGAGUAUAAUGAAACAAAAGGAACUGUAAGUUUUGAUCAGAGAGGAGGCAGAGCUGGUGGGGGUGGAUUUGACCUCAGGUCUGCAGGAGGCUUUGAUGUGUGCCACAAACAUUUUUUAUUUCUAGAAACAUACAUGAUUUUUUUCCGCUCUUCGUCCACCUCCUGAAUCUAAUAAAGCAAAACAAUUAAUAAAGUGAGUUAAGACUUGAGCCGGAUUUGCCUCACAAGCGUUCUUUAAUACGUCAGUCUCAAAUACAGAGCAUAGAGUUUGCAGGCGCAGGGCCUGCAUCUCACACAGGAAGAGCCCCGGCUAUACAAAGCAACCUCAUGUCUUAGCUUGCAGGUACAGAGCUGCACACUAUCAGCAGCAGUACAGCAAGUCUCGUAAGACCUUUGUAGUUUCAGAACACUUCUUCUCAAUGCAGUUUAUCUCCUCUGCAAGACAGCCAUUUCCUCCAGCAUUCUCUGGGGGAAGAGAGGGAGAAAGAAAUGAUAUCAAGUGGCUGGAAGAGGAGAGGAAAGAAAGGCAGAAUGAAAGAAAGAAGGAGGGAGGAUCACAAUAAUAGCAAUCUCUCUUCUCCCCCCUCCUCUUGUUUUUUUUUUCUCAGAAGAGGAUACAGUGAGUGCCAGCUGUGCUCUGCUGCUGCUGUACAGUGCACACUACUUCAGAGAAGUCAACCUCACUGCACUCCAUCCACCCCAUUGAACUGCCAGCUCUGGCAAUCAAUUCUGAGCCUUGUGCUGUCACUGCUGGCCUCUGGACACAGCAGCUGGCUGCAGGAAGACAAGCGCUCUUCCACAGAGUCUGUCCACCGAUCAGCUGCACCCAGCUGUCUAGCAGCAGCCCUGCUAUUCAGAGCACUGCUGCUGCCGCUGGUGUCUGUAAGGCGGGGAUUUACAUUUUCUCAGGACAGGCAGCCCGUGGAGAGAGGCCUGCUGGCAGAUCAAAGGCUCCGGCUGUAAAACGAUCUGAAAGAGUCCGGCAUUAGCAUCCAUCAGGGUACCUUGAAAGCUCCCUGGUCAGCCGAGAGGGAAGCUGAGGGCCCCCCAAAGUGAAAGCCCAGUCUGGA